ACGUAGGGCGCAAGCGUUGUCCGGAAUUAUUGGGCGUAAAGAGCUCGUAGGCGGUCUGUCGCGUCUGCCGUGAAAACCCGAGGCUUAACCUCGGGCCUGCGGUGGAUACGGGCAGACUAGAGGUAGGUAGGGGAGAAUGGAAUUCCCGGUGUAGCGGUGAAAUGCGCAGAUAUCGGGAGGAACACCGGUGGCGAAGGCGGUUCUCUGGGCCUUACCUGACGCUGAGGAGCGAAAGCGUGGGGAGCGAACAGGA
rnacentral:rRNA from 1 species